rnacentral:rRNA from 1 species
UACGUAGGGUGCGAGCGUUAAUCGGAAUUACUGGGCGUAAAGCGUGCGCAGGCGGCUUCGCAAGUCAGACGUGAAAUCCCCGGGCUUAACCUGGGAACUGCGCUUGUUACUGGCAGGCUUGAGUGUGGCAGAGGGGGGUGGAAUUCCACGUGUAGCAGUGAAAUGCGUAGAGAUGUGGAGGAACACCGAUGGCGAAGGCAGCCCCCUGGGCUAACACUGACGCUCAUGCACGAAAGCGUGGGGAGCAAAAGGG